rnacentral:rRNA from 1 species
GACAGAGGUCCCGAGCGUUAGGCGGAAUCACUGGGCUUAAAGCGUGUGUAGGCGGAUCGUUAAGUACCUUGUGAAAUCCCACGGCUUAACCGUGGAACGGCUUGGUAUACUGGCGGUCUUGAGCCACUUAGGGGCUACCGGAACAAAUGGUGGAGCGGUGAAAUGCGUAGAUAUCAGGAGGAACACCUGUGGUGUAGACAGCUUACUGGACCAUUUCUGACGCUGAGACACGAAAGCGUGGGUAGCAAACAGG